AUUGAACGCUGGCGGCAGGCUUAACACAUGCAAGUCGAGCGGAGAGAGGUAGCUUGCUACUGAUCUUAGCGGCGGACGGGUGAGUAAUGCUUAGGAAUCUGCCUAUUAGUGGGGGACAACAUUUCGAAAGGAAUGCUAAUACCGCAUACGUCCUACGGGAGAAAGCAGGGGAUCUUCGGACCUUGCGCUAAUAGAUGAGCCUAAGUCGGAUUAGCUAGUUGGUGGGGUAAAGGCCUACCAAGGCGACGAUCUGUAGCGGGUCUGAGAGGAUGAUCCGCGACACUGGGACUAAGACACGGCCCAGACUCCUACGGGAGGCAGCAGUGGGGAAUAUUGGACAAUGGGCGGAAGCCUGAUCCAGCCGUGCCGCAUGUGUGAAGAAGGCCUUAUGGUCGUAAAGCACUUUAAGCGAGGAGGAGGCUACUUUAGUUAAUACCUAGAGAUAGUGGACGUUACUCGCAGAAUAAGCACCGGCUAACUCUGUGCCAGCCGCCGCGGUAACAC
rnacentral:rRNA from 1 species